UUUCCUGGAACAGGAGAGUGCUUUCAUUAGAGAGAACCUGGAGACAGGUGCUGCAUGGCUGUCGUCAGCUCGUGUCGUGAGAUGUUGGUUAAGUCCCGCAACGAGCGCAACCCUUGCCUUUAGUUGCCAGCAGUUCGGCUGGGCACUCUAAAGGGACUGCCGGUGUCAAACCGGAGGAAGGUGGGGAUGACGUCAAGUCCUCAUGGCCUUUAUGGCCAGGGCUACACACGUACUACAAUGGCCGGUACAAAGGGCAGCGACAUUGCGAGAUGGAGCGAAUCCCGAAAAGCCGGUCUCAGUCCGGAUUGGAGUUUGCAACUCGACUCCAUGAAGUUGGAAUCGCUAGUAAUCGCGGAUCAGCACGCCGCGGUGAAUACGUUCCCGGGCCUU
rnacentral:rRNA from 1 species